UGGGGAAUAUUGGACAAUGGGCGGAAGCCUGAUCCAGCCAUGCCGCGUGUGAAGAAGGCCUCUUGGGGUUAAAGAGCUUUAAGCGCGGAGGAGGCUCUUCUAGUUAAUACAUAGGAUGAGUGGACGCGACUCGCAGAAUAAGCACCGGCUAACACUGUGCCAGCAGCCGCGGUAAAACAGAGGGUGCGAGCGUUAAUCGGAUUUACUGGGCGUAAAGCGUGCGUAGGCGGCUGAUUAAGUCGGAUGUGAAAUCCCUGAGCUUAACUUAGGAAUUGCAUUCGAUACUGGUCAGCUAGAGUAUGGGAGAGGAUGGUAGAAUUCCAGGUGUAGCGGUGAAAUGCGUAGAGAUCUGGAGGAAUACCGAUGGCGAAGGCAGCCAUCUGGCCUAAUACUGACGCUGAGGUACGAAAGCAUGGGGAGCAAACAGG
rnacentral:rRNA from 1 species